AUUGAACGCUGGCGGCAGGCCUAACACAUGCAAGUCGAACGAGUGGCGGACGGGUGAGUAAUGUCUGGGAAACUGCCUGUUGGAGGGGGAUAACUACUGGAAACGGUAGCUAAUACCGCAUACCAUCAGAUGUGCCCAGGUGGGAUUAGCUAGUAGGUGGGGUAACGGCUCACCUAGGCGACGAUCCCUAGCUGGUCUGAGAGGAUGACCAGCAAAACUGGAACUGAGACACGGUCAAGAUUCCUACGGGAGGCAGCAGUGGGGAAUAUUGCACAAGGGGCGCAAGCCGGAUGCAGCAAGGCGGCGUGUGUGAAGAAGGCCUUCGGGUUGUAAAGCACUUUCAGCGGGGAGGCGUUACCCGAAGAAGAAGCACCGGCUAACUCCGUGCCAGCAGCCGCGGUAAUUC
rnacentral:rRNA from 1 species